rnacentral:rRNA from 1 species
UACGAAGGGGGCUAGCGUUGUUCGGAAUCACUGGGCGUAAAGCGCAUGCAGGCGGAUCGUUAAGUCGGGGGUGAAAUCCCGAGGCUCAACCUCGGACCUGCCUUCGAUACUGGCGAUCUUGAGUCCGGGAGAGGUGAGUGGAACUGCGGGUGUAGAGGUGAAAUUCGUAGAUAUUCGCAAGAACACCAGUGGCGAAGGCGGCUCACUGGCCCGGUACUGACGCUCAGGUGCGAAAGCGCGGGGAGCAAACAGG